UACGUAGGGUGCAAGCGUUGUCCGGAAUUACUGGGCGUAAAGAGUUCGUAGGCGGUUUGUCGCGUCGUUUUGUAAAAACCAGCAGCUCAACUGCUGGCUUGCAGGCGAUACGGGCAGACUUGAGUACUGCAGGGGAGACUGGAAUUCCUGGUGUAGCGGUGAAAUGCGCAGAUAUCAGGAGGAACACCGGUGGCGAAGGCGGGUCUCUGGGCCGAUACUGACGCUGAGGAGCGAAAGCGUGGGGAGCGAACAGG
rnacentral:rRNA from 1 species